rnacentral:rRNA from 1 species
GACGAACGCUGGCGGCGUGCCUAAUACAUGCAAGUUGAGCGCCGAAGCAUGGUACUUGUACUCUCUGGAUGAGCAGCGAACGGGUGAGUAACGAGUGGGGCAUCUGCUUUUUUUUGGUGGACAACAAUUGGAAACGACUGCUAAUACCGCAUAAUAACUUUAAACACAAGUUUCAAGUUAGAAUGAUGCAAUUGCAUCAUUCAAAGAUGAUUCCGCGUUGUAUUAGUUAGUUGGUGAGGUAAAGGCCCAGCAAGGCGUUGGUACAUAGCCGACCGGAGUGGGAGGUCGGCCACAAUGGGAAUUGGACACGGCCCAAGCUCCCGCGGGAAGCAGCAGUAGGGAAACAUUGGCAAAGGGGGGAAAUCUGACCGAACAACGCCGGGGUGGGGGAAAAAGGUUUCGGGUCGGAAAACUCUGUUUGUAGGGAAGAACGUUGGGGAGGGUGGAAAGCUGAUCAAGUGACGGUAACUACACAAAAAGGAACGGCUAACUACGUG